AUGCAGUCGAGCGAACAGACGAGGAGCUUGCUCCUUUGACGUUAGCGGCGGACGGGUGAGUAACACGUGGGUAACCUACCUAUAAGACUGGGAUAACUUCGGGAAACCGGAGCUAAUACCGGAUAAUAUUUCGAACCGCAUGGUUCGAUAGUGAAAGAUGGCUUUGCUAUCACUUAUAGAUGGACCUGCGCCGUAUUAGCUAGUUGGUAAGGUAACGGCUUACCAAGGCAACGAUACGUAGCCGACCUGAGAGGGUGAUCGGCCACACUGGAACUGAGACACGGUCCAGACUCCUACGGGAGGCAGCAGUAGGGAAUCUUCCGCAAUGGGCGAAAGCCUGACGGAGCAACGCCGCGUGAGUGAUGAAGGUCUUCGGAUCGUAAAACUCUGUUAUUAGGGAAGAACAAACGUGUAAGUAACUGUGCACGUCUUGACGGUACCUAAUCAGAAAGCCACGGCUAACUACGUGCCAGCAGCCGCGGUAAUACGUAGGUGGCAAGCGUUAUCCGGAAUUAUUGGGCGUAAAGCGCGCGUAGGCGGUUUUUUAAGUCUGAUGUGAAAGCCCACGGCUCAACCGUGGAGGGUCAUUGGAAACUGGAAAACUUGAGUGCAGAAGAGGAAAGUGGAAUUCCAUGUGUAGCGGUGAAAUGCGCAGAGAUAUGGAGGAACACCAGUGGCGAAGGCGACUUUCUGGUCUGUAACUGACGCUGAUGUGCGAAAGCGUGGGGAUCAAACAGGAUUAGAUACCCUGGUAGUCCACGCCGUAAACGAUGAGUGCUAAGUGUUAGGGGGUUUCCGCCCCUUAGUGCUGCAGCUAACGCAUUAAGCACUCCGCCUGGGGAGUACGACCGCAAGGUUGAGACUUCAAAGGAAUUGACGGGGACCCGCAC
rnacentral:rRNA from 1 species